CUGGGCUUGACAUGCAUCUCUAAGCGCGUGAAAGCGCGUGACCCUUCGGGGGAUUUGCACAGGUGCUGCAUGGCCGUCGUCAGCUCGUGUCGUGAGAUGUUGGGUUAAGUCCCGCAACGAGCGCAACCCUUGUGACUGGUUGCCAGCGCGUAAUGGCGGGAACUCGAGUCAGACUGCCCAGAUCAACUGGGAGGAAGGUGGGGACGACGUCAGGUCAGUAUGGCCCUUACGCCCAGGGCUGCACACGUACUACAAUGCCCAGUACAAUGGGAACCGAGGCCGCGAGGCGGAGGAAAUCCACAAAACUGGGCCCAGUUCGGAUUGGAGGCUGCAACUCGCCUCCAUGAAGUCGGAAUCGCUAGUAAUGGCGCAUCAGCUACGGCGCCGUGAAUACGUUCCC
rnacentral:rRNA from 1 species